UGGGGAAUUUUGGACAAUGGGCGAAAGCCUGAUCCAGCAAUGCCGCGUGUGUGAAGAAGGCCUUCGGGUUGUAAAGCACUUUUGUCCGGAAAGAAAUCCUCUGGGUUAAUACCUCGGGGGGAUGACGGUACCGGAAGAAUAAGCACCGGCUAACUACGUGCCAGCAGCCGCGGUAAUACGUAGGGUGCAAGCGUUAAUCGGAAUUACUGGGCGUAAAGCGUGCGCAGGCGGUUUUGUAAGACGGAUGUGAAAUCCCCGGGCUUAACCUGGGAACUGCAUUCGUGACUGCAAGGCUAGAGUAUGGCAGAGGGGGGUAGAAUUCCACGUGUAGCAGUGAAAUGCGUAGAGAUGUGGAGGAAUACCGAUGGCGAAGGCAGCCCCCUGGGCCAAUACUGACGCUCAUGCACGAAAGCGUGGGGAGCAAACAGGAUUAGGAUACCCUGGUAGUCCACGCCCUAAACGAUGUCAACUAGUUGUUGGGGAUUCAUUUCCUUAGUAACGUAGCUAACGCGUGAAGUUGACCGCCUGGGGAGUACGGUCGCAAGAUUAAAACUCAAAUGUAUUGACGGGG
rnacentral:rRNA from 1 species